UACCAGCACCCCGAGUGGUCGGGACGAUUAUUGGGCCUAAAGCAUCCGUAGCCGGUCCUGCAAGUCUUCCGUUAAAUCCAGCUGCUCAACAGAUGGGCUGCGGGAGAUACUACAGGGCUAGGAGGCGGGAGAGGCAAGCGGUACUUUAUGGGUAGGGGUAAAAUCCGCUGAUCCAUAGAAGACCACCAAGUGGCGAAGGCGGCUUGCCAGAACGCGCUCGACGGUGAGGGAUGAAAGCUGGGGGAGCAAAACCGGG
rnacentral:rRNA from 1 species